UUUGGGUUGUCUAUUGCAACUUUGUGGGAGAUAUUGUAGUUGACCCUGUGCUUCUGACCGACCAUUGAGGGUCAUUCUUGCUUUUUGGAUAAAGGAAGUACAUGGUGAUAACUUUAAUGGGUAAAUUGUUAAUGGAGGAGCAGAAAGUGAAACACAUAUAUGCAGAAUGACAUAUUGUGGACCCUAAUUUUUAGUAAGAAAUAAUUCAAUGUUUUUUG